CGGGAGGCAGCAGUGGGGAAUAUUGCACAAUGGACGAAAGUCUGAUGCAGCAACGCCGCGUGGAGGAUGACACAUUUCGGUGCGUAAACUCCUUUUAUAUGGGAAGAUAAUGACGGUACCAUAUGAAUAAGCACCGGCUAACUCCGUGCCAGCAGCCGCGGUAAUACGGAGGGUGCAAGCGUUACUCGGAAUCACUGGGCGUAAAGAGCGUGUAGGCGGAUAUAUAAGUCAGAAGUGAAAUCCAAUAGCUUAACUAUUGAACUGCUUUUGAAACUGUAUAUCUAGAAUGUGGGAGAGGUAGAUGGAAUUUCUGGUGUAGGGGUAAAAUCCGUAGAGAUCAGAAGGAAUACCGAUUGCGAAGGCGAUCUACUGGAACAUUAUUGACGCUGAGACGCGAAAGCGUGGGGAGCAAACAGGAUUAGAUACCCUGGUAGUCCACGCCCUAAACGAUGCACACUAGUUGUUGUGAGGCUAGACCUUGCAGUAAUGCAGUUAACACAUUAAGUGUGCCGCCUGGGGAGUACGGUCGCAAGAUUAAAACUCAAAGGAAUAGACGGGGACCCGCACAAGCGGUGGAGCAUGUGGUUUAAUUCGACGAUACACGAAGAACCUUACCUGGACUUGACAUAGUAAGAACUUUCUAGAGAUAGAUUGGUGUCUGCUUGCAGAAACUUAUAUACAGGUGCUGCACGGCUGUCGUCAGCUCGUGUCGUGAGAUGUUGGGUUAAGUCCCGCAACGAGCGCAACCCUCGUCAUUAGUUGCUAACAGUUCGGCUGAGAACUCUAAUGAGACUGCCUACGCAAGUAGGAGGAAGGUGAGGACGACGUCAAGUCAUCAUGGCCCUUACGUCCAGGGCUACACACGUGCUACAAUGGGGCAUACAAAGAGCCGCAAUACGGUGACGUGGAGCAAAUCUCAAAAAUGCCUCCCAGUUCGGAUUGUAGUCUGCAACUCGACUACAUGAAGUUGGAAUCGCUAGUAAUCGUAGAUCAGCUAUGCUACGGUGAAUACGUUCCCGGGUCUUGUACUCACCGCCCGUCACACCAUGGGAGUUGAACUCAUUCGAAGCGGGGAUGCUAAAAUAGCUACCUUCCACAGUGGAUUCAGCGACUGGGGUGAAGUCGUAACAAGGUAACCGUAGGAGAACCUGCGGUUGGAUCACCUCCUUUCAGA
rnacentral:rRNA from 1 species